AUCGCGGAAACAAUCUAGGUCAUAAAAACAACGCCCUCAGGUGACGAAAAUGGAAAAUAUUUGAGAAAAGAAAGUUUUGUUGAACCUCAAGAUGGAUCCAGGAAAUGAAAAUCCUUCAGAGAGCCCGGGUGUUCCAGUCAAUCUCAAUGAUCUACAACAUUACCUGGUUUCCUUUAACAAAGAAAUCGAACAGACUGAUGAUCCUGAUCAAUUUACAGUAGGAGCGGACACUGCUGGUGUGGUGGUUGGGGAAGCCUUAACAGAUGUUCAGACAGAGUCCGGGUUCAUCACCAUAGAAGCCCAGAAAGUGGAGCCAAUAGACUCUGGAAAUGUGGAAAAUGUUGUCAAUGUUGUUGAUCUGAAACUUCCUUAUGGUACCACUAUGGAUAUAAGUGAAGCUGUUCAGCAGCUAAGUCAGGUGGAGACAACUCCUGAUGUCGGUGGUCAAACUCAACCAAUUGCAAAUGGCCAACCCGAUGAAGUGUCUGUUGACCUGGAGGACCCCGGUAUUGACCAGGGUGUGACCAACUGUAUCAGUAUGGCAGAAGUCCAGGCACACAUGGCAGAGCUGGCUGCCCAGGGUCAAGUUACAAAACUGACCAAUGUGGAGGAACUCACCAAGGCAGUAAACAACAAACAGACAGAGUGCUUUAUGAAACAACUUGAGAUCCCUGUAAGUGAUUCAGGAGAUGGGGAGCAGAAGAUUGUCCAUGUUGUGUCCAUCGACGGUCAGGAGCACAUGCAGCUAGUGGAUGCUGGAGCUACAGGUCUGACCACAGGACUGAACACCAGCACCGGUCAACUCAUACACAUCCCUGCUGUGUCUACCACUCUCACAGACAGCAUUGAACAGGAACUCGCUAACACUGUUGGGAAUGGCUCAGAUCCUGUUGCUGUUCUGGCCUCUGUUGCGGCCAACACUUCCACACUCAACCAGCUACAGACAAUUACGGUGGGUCAGACAGAGCUAAAUUCAGCACAGGUCGUAGCUCUACAGAACUCGGCUGACAGUUCACAGCCACAGCUGGUUGCUGUUCAGGCUCAAGAAGGUGCCAUGGAAAUCUUGGGUGCAGAGGUAGAAAACCACUCCAACUCAAUUGUCCUAAACACAGGUGAUAACAACUUCCAAACGGUUACCAUUGUACCCUCCGAGAUGAAUCCCAGUGGAGAAAUGAGUUACGUGCUGAUUGUGUCACAGCCCGAUAAGGAUGAUGGCAAUAGCAUUGGUUCACCCAAACAGCUGUCCCUUGAUAUGAGCAGUAUGCUAGACAUGAAGGAUGAAACACAAGAAAUGGUGGAAGAAGUCGUUCAGGAGGACGGGACGACUCGCCGUAUCAUAACAUUUGUGCCAAAGCGUAUGUCAAUGCCAGUAUCCAACCAAGCACAGCUUAUGUGCCACUACUGUGAUUACACAAGUCCUAAGCGAUACCUAUUGAUGCGCCACAUGAAGACCCACUCAGAAGACCGACCACACAAGUGUAACAUAUGUGAUCGUGGAUUCAAGACAAUGGCUUCCCUACAGAAUCAUGUGAACACACACACCGGCACUAGGCCUCACAAGUGUAAAGGGUGUGGCUCAGCGUUCACCACCUCAGGUGAACUUGUCAGGCACAUUCGUUACAAACAUACAUUCGAGAAGCCCCACAAGUGUACCGAGUGUGACUAUGCUAGUGUAGAGCUUAGCAAGAUGAAGAGACACAUGCGUUCACACACAGGUGAGCGUCCGUAUCAUUGUCCCCACUGUAAUUAUGCCAGUCCUGAUACAUACAAGCUCAAGCGACACUUGCGGAUACAUACGGGGGAAAAGCCCUACGAAUGUGACGUAUGUCAUGCACGAUUCACUCAGAGCAACAGUCUCAAAGCUCACAAACUCAUCCACUCCGGUAAUAAACCUGUGUUUCUGUGUCACCUGUGUCCAACAACGUGUGGUCGCAAAACAGAUUUAAAAAUUCACAUGUCAAAGCUACACAGCAGUGCAAAACCUUUGACUUGUAAGAAGUGUGGGAGCACCUGCCCAGACAGAUACCAGUACAAAUUACACAUGAAAAGUCAUGAGGGAGAGAAGUGCUUCAAGUGUGAGCAGUGUGACUACGCUGCUCAGUCGCUCCGUCACCUGGAGAGUCACAUACUCACACACACAGGCGAAAAGCCAUUUGAUUGUAAGGAGUGUGGUCAGACGUUUCGCCAAAAGCAGUUGUUACGCCGACACAUAAACCUGUACCACUCACCGGAGUACAGCCCGCCAGAGACGCGUGACAAGAUGUACGAGUGUGAUGAAUGUGACAAGACAUUUGCUCAUAAGGGCAACUUGAUGCGUCACAUGCAACAACAUGACCCUGAUAGCCUUCAGUACAAGGACCUUGCUGGCCAGGGACGGUUACGUGAGAGUCUCUCAUCCCCACUCACUGCUGAACAACUGUUACAGGGUAGUCUGCUCACAGAGAUGAGAGAAGGAAAACUGGGAAACACACCCAAGAUAGUUAUAGUACACCCAGACGGGAGGGUCGAGGAGGUCACAUCCAAGCUACAAAGUCUUGCCCAUGAGAAAGAUGUGGAGGAUGUCCUCAUGGGGAUGACUGAGGACAGAGACCAGGUGGAGGAUGGCCAUCCUGACUCCAUUUUACAGGUAACUAGUGGUGGGAACCUUGACAACCAGACUAUAAGGAUGUCCUUGGCAACUGCUACUAUGCCUAACCCAGACUCAGAAUCGGUUCUACAGGAUUUACAACAGCAGACUGGUGAUGAGCGGAAAGAUGUUGAAACUCAAGUUGCCUUGGAGACUGAUAGUGAGCAUGAAGAGGAAGUUGAGCAAAUUUUUCAACAAAGCGGGGCAAAUGCUGAGGAUGGAAAUGCAGAUAUCCUACAGAUUGACCUACAUACAGCGGCCCAGGAUCAGGAGGCUGCCGAGAAUGUGGUCAUCAGUCUGCAGACAACUAUGGAUACAAGAUCAAAAAAGAGAAGAGAAAGCAGUGAAGAUAGUACCAGUCCAUCCAAGAGAAUAAAGAUCAGCUAAGGGGAGCUAAGAAGAUGCGCAAUCACCCUCAUAAUAGCAUGAUCAUGAAAUUUCAUACGAGAGGAAUUUGUUCUCAUUUGAUAAGACACAGAUGGAUAUACCAUAUUUAUCCAGCAAUAAGCCCAAUAUACAAUCUCAUAGUGGAAAAUCGGCUUAUUACAGAACAUUGAAAUAUCAUUAGCAUACCUGCCAACCCCGGCUAUACCGAAAAAGGGUGAUGUCACUCUUUUGAAAAUAAAAGAGAGGGUCAUAGCGUGUGACGUCUUUUUUCGGCAAUAAAUAUAAAACCAGUAGAUAUUAAAUUAGAACUUCAAUAUUUUGUUGAUGCAAAAGGUGUAGUCUACAGUAAGAACAUUCAUUGACAGCUCUUGUUGUAUUCAGGUGCAGUCUACAGUAAGACCAUUCAUUGACAGCUCUUAUAGUCAGGUGUAGUCUACAGUAAGAACAUUCAUUGAGAGCUCUUGUUGUAGUCAGUUGUAGUCUACAGUAAGAACAUUCAUUGACAGCUCUUGUUGUAGUCAGGUGUAGUCUACAGCAAGACCAUUCAUUGACAGCUCUUAUAGUCAGGUGGAGUCUACAGUAAGAACAUUCAUUGACAGCUCUUGUUGUAUUCAGGUGUAGUCUACAGUAAUAACAUUCAUUGACAGCUCUUGUUGUAUUCCGGUGUAGUCUACAGUAAGAACGUUCAUUGACAGCUCUUGUUGUAUGCAGGUGUAGUCUACAGUAAGACCAUUCAUUGACAGCCCUUGUUGUAUUCAGGUGUAGUCUACAGUAAUAACAUUCAUUGACAGCUCUUGUUGUAUUCAGGAGUAGUCUACAGUAAUAACAUUCAUUGACAGCUCUUGUUGUAUUCAGGUGUGGUCUAUAGUAAGAAUGUUCAUUGACAGCUCUUGUUAUAGUCAGGUGUAGUCUACAGUAAGACUAUUCAUUGACAGCUCUUGUUGUAUUCAGGUGUGGUCUAUAGUAAGAAUGUUCAUUGACAGCUCUUGUUGUAUUCAGGUUUAGUCUACAGUAAUAACAUUCAUUGACAGCUCUUGUUGUAUUCCGGUGUAGUCUACAGUAAGAACGUUCAUUGACAGUUCUUGUUGUAUUCAGGUGUAGUCUAUAGUAAGAAUGUUCAUUGACAGCUCUUGUUGUAGUCAGGUGUAGUCUAUAGUAAGAACAUUCAUUGAGAGCUCUUGUUGAAGUCAGUUGUAGUCUACAGUAGGAACAUUCAUUGACAGCUCUUGUUGUAUUCCGGUGUAGUCUACAGUAAGAACGUUCAUUGACAGCUCUUGGUGUAUUCAGGUGUAGGCUACAGUAAGAACGUUCAUUGACAGCUCUUGUUGUAGUCAGGUGUAGUCUACAGCAAGACCAUUCAUUGACAGCUCUUGUUGUAUUCAGGCGUAGUCUACAGUAAGACCAUUCAUUGACAGCCCUUGUUGUAUUCAGGUGUAGUCUACAGUAAGACCAUUCAUUGAAAGCUCUUGUUGUAGUCAGGUGUAGUCUAUAGUAAGAACAUUCAUUGAGAGCUCUUGUUGAAGUCAGUUGUAGUCUACAGUAGGAACAUUCAUUGACAGCUCUUGUUGUAGUCGGGUGUAGUCUACAGUAAGACCAUUCAUUGACAGCUCUUGUUGUAGUCAGGUGUAACAGAUUAUGCAGCAGCUUAUACAGUUGCUGGUGGUUGAUAUUUAGGACAAGAAUCAUGUUGAUUAAAUUUACAGCCUAGCAGGACACACAAAGUGUCAUUAUGCAAAUCUGCUCUAAAUUUAAUGUGUAUUUUUUUUAAAGCUCUUUCUGAGUCUGUAUUACUAUUUGGCAGUACCAACUGUUUUUUGCCAGUCAAGACAACACAUGAAAUCUUCGUUUCUGAGACAAGAUGUCUUCGACUGUACUCGUAUGUCCCCAGUAUUGUUCAAUCCUGCUUUCAUUUUCACAUGCUUGAAUAUCACCAACAGGGAUUAGUUAAUAGUCUGAGAACUGUGCUGCCAGCAGGUUUAGCUGAUCCUCAUCCAAGAUAUCCCGGAAACUCUUCACCAAAUUCAAAACUGAAAAAUAGCAAGAUUUUUCAACAACACUACCCAUAAAAUAAGCUUGGCAUCAGAUCUAACUGUAUGCGAUUUACAAAGAGUGCAGUAUUCAUUGUUUGGUCCAUGAUCACUGGGGUUAUCUUCUUCAACUCAUUUGUCUAUGACAUUUGAUAUAUGCCCAAAUAUCUUUCAAUUUUUCACAUUUAGUAUAGUAGAACCUGCAGGUCCCGAUAAUGACAUCUUUUUUCAAGAAGAUAUACCUUCCAAAUGUGAUCUAGACUACGGGAUUUUAAAAACAACUGAACUUUGUGUAAAAACAUCUUUCUACUUACCUGUAGAUAAGUUUGGUCACAUCGGUCUAUAUAUAAACAUUUGUAAAAAACAAUUCAAGUAUGUAAAGACAACUAACAACUUUCCUGUCACUGAGAAAUGAAACAGGAAAUGGACCGUCUUCCUUUCGGCAGAGGAUAAAAAAGUCUAGACAAUUCCAAAUGACUUCGAUACCUUCCAAUGUACGAAAAAAUUCCAGAUGAAAAGAUUGAAAAUAGUAACCCAGCGUGUGAAGUUGUUAAAGCUGGUUAAGGACUAACAUUCUGGGUGUAAUCCGAUGAAAUCAGGUCACUUAGCAGGUAUGCAUUUGUUAACAUUUAUACUUAACUAAAGAUAUGAGUGAGUUAUUACCAGGCAUGGGCAUAUUGCCAGAUAAAUAAAUCAACUGAAUUCCUUAAUAUUUUCAUUACUUUUUCAAUUUGAAUUGUAAAUGUUGAUACAUGUGACUGAAAGCAUACGUCUAUAUUGCUGUGCAAUGCCUUGUGAAUGAACAACUUCUAAACAUUUUUCUAUUAAAAAUAUGAGUUUAUAAAUAACUUUUAAUUAGCCAGCAAUGAAGUAAUUUGAAGUCUGAACAUUAUCUUGUGAUUAUUGACACUUUUAUUCAUAAAAUUUGUUCAUGUUGACAGUUAAUUCUUUGAUAUUUAUAUACUAAGAAAAGGGCCCCGAGACAAAUACCAGGUAUUGUUUUUACAGGGUGUGUAAUAUGUUCUAACUUUACCAUGCUUAAAGAAACCGAAUUGAUUCAUAUUUCAGUACAAGUAUGAUGAUAUUUUAUUUCAUCGAUUGGUAUCCAAUCUUACAUCUGCACAUAUACUGUUACCAUUUUUCUGUAUAAUACAGUAACUGAGCAGUCUCAGCAUGUUGAAACAGACAUUAGAUUUUAAGCGAUAUCAGUACUCGAGUCAUAUUUAGUUUGUGUGUAGGCCUGUAUGUUUGGCAGUACACAUAUAUUCCUGAAACUUAGCUUGAAUCAAGACAUGAGCUAUCUGGUUGUCCCACAGUACAUGUUAUGCCAGUGAUAACACCUUAUUUAUGCCUGGUAAUAACUCGCCCAUAUAUCUAUUGUAGCUCGAAAGAGGAAAGAUUCCACUAUUCAUGCCAUUUCACAAUCUAGCUGGAUUAUUUAAGACCACCUGUAGGCAAUCUAAGAAAAUCCUUCAAGUUGUAUAAUAAGAGUACAUGAUAAUAAACUUUAUCUAUUUGACAACAAUUAUGAAACAAGUUAUUUCCUCUCAACUUAUAUUAAUCACUCUUCUUUGCUCAAAUGUUAGUGCACAGGGGGUCUUAAUAUGGGAGAAAACCCACAUGGUCAGGCAGGUGACCUCACACCUUUUCACGUCCGAUCGGGGAAUCGAACCCUGGCUGCCUUAGUUAAAAGGCAAGUACGCUAUCCACUGUGCCACCUGACAAGCCUUGGAGUACAUUUGAGCUUCAGUCCAUAUUUUUAUGAAACCUCAUAAAGUGUGAGAUUUAAGGAGACAAGCUACCUUUGCACAUAUACUACACAUGAUUUGUGUGUGUGUGUGUGCCAAAGAUAACCUGAAUCCGUCAAAGCUUUUUAUUCUAUGCUGUUAAGUAUUUGUCCCCUUGUUAAAUCAAUGAUUAAGAUGAAACCAGAAUGUAUGAUAAUCCUUAUAAUUGGCCUAAAAGUUAUGGAAUCUAAAGCCUCCGUGUUUAGUGUUCCAAACUGUAAUAUCAAAGUUUCUGGAAUUGUAUAUUUUUUUUUAUUAAGUACUGUGUUCAUUGUGAAAAGUAGAAUAUUUGUGAAAUAUAAUAUUUAUCGGUGCAACCUAGGUUUAGUUCAUUGCUGUGAACUUCUUUUAGAUUGAAAAUCCAUGCUAGUCAAAGUCUGUCUCGGAUAUAUUCACUGAUUGUGUGAUACCAAACCAAGGUGUGACACUAAAGAGGUUCAUUGAAUGGGUGAUAUAAAGCAGUCGGGUGUCAUGUGCCUGAUCUUGUUCAUCGAUUACUGGUCGCUGGCCGAAGGGUUUCAUGAUCAUUAAAUUAAGUUAUUGGUAAUGUAUUAUUAUAAUGUUACCUUGUUAUUAGAAUCAUUGGUCAGAUUACUGUUAUUUAUUACCUAUUGUAAGGUCAUAGUGAGAAGGUAUUGUAUAUUAUGCCAGUUUAACAUUAUAUUUUGUAGAUUUUCUUUGAAUAUGAUAAAAUACCCUGAUAUAUGACUUUUAAAAUAGUUUAUGGCUGCACUUGAAUUAGCACUUUGAGUUUGCACAAACAAAUAUUGCCAAAAUAAAAUUACAGCUUGCAUAAUAAAUUAUACAGUUGACAGUAAUAAUUCUCAUAUACUUUCUAAUUUUAAUUUAAUAUUGAAAAUGUUUAUUUUGAUUUUGUUAACACCAUAUGUUUUCUGGCCACAAGCUUGUUACUUUGUAAGGUAUGUGAGGAAAAUGUGUAUGUGUGUAUAUGUGUGUUUAAAAGAUUUGUUCGAACUUGACUAGUACAUGUGUGCUACCUUUUUGUCCAAACUUCAAUAUUAAAACCCUGUUAUUGUUUUAAAAUGUUAUUUGCCUUUUUGAAAAAUAUUGAAUUUUGUGAAAGCAUGUUCUGCGAGAUAAAUGUGUACAGUUUGUGCUACCCUGUAUAUAUUGGACGCAGAGGGAGUCGGUGUAACAAGGCAUUGUAAAAAUGAAGUGCACCUCAGUGUCCAAAGCUGCAACAGAAUUGGAAUGUUAGAUCUGCCUUAUUUGAUUACGACGGACUGCAAUUCAAAUUGUCCAACUGAAUGACGAGUGGUUUUGUUUAUUUUGAGACAUAAGAGGCACAUGCUGUAUUGUGUUGAUAUGUGUUGCAAAUGUACAAACUAUUAAAGGUAUUGUUUCUUCCAAACAUCUUGAGAUAAACUAUUACAUAACA
rnacentral:misc_RNA from 1 species